rnacentral:rRNA from 1 species
AUUGAACGCUGGCGGCAGGCCUAACACAUGCAAGUCGAACGAGUGGCGGACGGGUGAGUAAUGUCUGGGAAACUUCCUGAUGGAGGGGGAUAACUACUGGAAACGGUAGCUAAUACCGCAUACCAUCGGAUGUGCCCACAUGGGAUUAGCUAGUGGGUGGGGGAAAGGCUCACCUCGUCGACGUACCCUAGCUGGUCUGAGAGGAGGACCGCCAACACUGGAACGUAGACACGGUCCAGAGCCCUACGGGAGGCAGCAGUGGGGAAUAUUGUAAAAUGGGCGCAAGCCUGAUGCAGCAAGGCCGCGUGUAUGAAGAAGGCCUUCGGGUGGUAAAGUACGUUCAGCGGGGAGGCGUUACCCGCAGAAGAAGCACCGGCUAACUCCGUGCCAGCAGCCGCGGUAAUUC